GACGAACGCUGGCGGCGUGCUUAACACAUGCAAGUCGAACGGAAAGGCCCUGCUUGCAGGGUACUCGAGUGGCGAACGGGUGAGUAACACGUGGGUGAUCUGCCCUGCACUUCGGGAUAAGCCUGGGAAACUGGGUCUAAUACCGGAUAUGACCUUCCAUGUAGUGUGGGGGGUGGAAAGAUUUAUCGGUGUGGGAUGAGCCCGCGGCCUAUCAGCUUGUUGGUGGGGUAAUGGCCUACCAAGGCGUCGACGGGUAGCCGGCCUGAGAGGGUGGACGGCCACAUUGGACUUGGGUAACGGCCCGGACUCCUACGGAAGGCAGCGGUGGGAAUAAUUGCCCAAUGGGCGGAGCCUGAUGCAGCGACGCCGCGUGGGGGAUGACGGCCCUCGGGUUGUAAACCUCUUUCGACAGGGACGAAGCUUCGGUGACGGUACCUGUAUAAGAAGCACCGGCUAACUACGUG
rnacentral:rRNA from 1 species